rnacentral:rRNA from 1 species
GUAAUGCCGGAUGCUCCAGUUGAUCGCAUGGUCUUCUGGGAAAGCUUUCGCGGUAUGGGAUGGGGUCGCGUCCUAUCAGCUUGACGGCGGGGUAACGGCCCACCGUGGCUUCGACGGGUAGCCGGCCUGAGAGGGCGACCGGCCACAUUGGGACUGAGAUACGGCCCAGACUCCUACGGGAGGCAGCAGUGGGGAAUAUUGCACAAUGGGCGCAAGCCUGAUGCAGCGACGCCGCGUGAGGGAUGGAGGCCUUCGGGUUGUAAACCUCUUUUAUCGGGGAGCAAGCGAGAGUGAGUUUACCCGUUGAAUAAGCACCGGCUAACUACGUGCCAGCAGCCGCGGUAAUACGUAGGGUGCAAGCGUUAUCCGGAAUUAUUGGGCGUAAAGGGCUCGUAGGCGGUUCGUCGCGUCCGGUGUGAAAGUCCAUCGCUUAACGGUGGAUCCGCGCCGGGUACGGGCGGGCUUGAGUGCGGUAGGGGAGACUGGAAUUCCCGGUGUAACGGUGGAAUGUGUAGAUAUCGGAAAAAA